AAAGAGUAAGAAACUUUAGUGUGUGUACCUUUUGUAUCAGGGGAAGUUAAAAGUGUAAGUAAUAAAGGAUCGAUUUAAGCAGAGCUUCAUACAAAAUAGCUAUAGUUAAAUUUAUAGCUUUAAUAGAUUAUGUGGUGAAAAAUGUACGGUGCUUAUGGUAGCUGUUUGUUUUUUUAUUGAAGGGUAAGCUUUCAUUGACUUAAUUGUGUAAAAGGUAUAGGGAA
rnacentral:rRNA from 1 species